UGGGGAAUAUUGCACAAUGGAGGAAACUCUGAUGCAGCCAUGCCGCGUGUGUGAAGAAGGCUCUAGGGUUGUAAAGCACUUUCAAUGGGGAGGAAAAGUUAGUAGUUAAUAGUUGCUAGCCGUGACGUUACCCAUAGAAGAAGCACCGGCUAACUCCGUGCCAGCAGCCGCGGUAAUACGGAGGGUGCAAGCGUUAAUCGGAAUUACUGGGCGUAAAGCGCGCGUAGGCGGUUUGUUAAGUCGGAUGUGAAAGCCCAGGGCUCAACCUUGGAAUUGCAUACGAUACUGGCUUACUAGAGUACGAUAGAGGGUGGUAGAAUUUCUUGUGUAGCAGUGAAAUGCGUAGAUAU
rnacentral:rRNA from 1 species